GUGGAGCAGGCAUCUGAGGGCCCUGAGGAAGACGAGGUGGAGGAGGACCGGGACACCCGCGAGCCUCCCGAGGCGGUGGGAGGCGGGACAAGGCCAGAGCGGACAUACUAGGGCACACCCAGUGACAAAACAACGCCGGGUUUGGGGUUUGCCGGAGGGAAGAGGCCAUCGUUCAAAGUGGAGAUUGCUCUGCUGCCGUUUGUAGGCCACGCGUGGCUCGCCCUCCUCUCCCCGCAGCCCUCCACUUCCUCUUCAGAAUCGGGCAGUGUCUCCGUGGGCAGGGUCAGACUUUGGCACAGAAAAAGAAUAAUGUCUUAAAAUCAAGGAGAAGCCUAAGGCAUCAAAGAGGUUUUCUUAUUCAGUAGCAUGAAGGAAAUGAUUGUCAGCAAGAGUGGCAAGAUUAUCCAAGGUGACAACUAUCUCUACUACCCAGGCCUCACAGAGUUUCUGAAGCUUCCUUGUCCAGAACUGCUUCACUAUGAUUCACUGUACAGGCUAGCCUCCCCUGCUCAAGCUCAGCAGCCCAUCUUGUCUGAAGUCACAUUUCAACCUUUGGACCGGUGCUAACCCUCACUCCUGAACCUACUUUGGAGGCUGACAUACAGCCCUGCAGCAGAUUACAGCUCCUCCAAAACCCCCUGGGGUGACAGUUCAUGUCCAGAGUCUGUUCAGGCUCUGCAGCCAACCUUGACUGAAGUUGCAUUUCAAACUUUGGACCUGAAGCUAACCCUCCCUCCCGAACCUACUUUGAAGGUUGAUGCCAUAGCCCUGUAGCAGACUACAGCUCCUCCAAAGCUCCUCAAGGUGACAUUUGCACUUCCAGAGCCUGUUUAGGCUCAGCAGCCAAACUUCUCUGAAAUCUGCAGUUCCAGACAACUCAGCCUUUGGAGUUGGCCCUGGACUCUGUCCUGCUGACCUCUAACCCACGUCAUUUAUCUCUGAAGAGGCUGAAUUCCGGCAUUCCAACCUUCUUCAGUACAACCUACUCUAAAUGGCACUCAAAUAUUUGCUGAUUCACAAUUUGACUGGGAUGGAUGGCUGUGGACUGAAAAAACCUGUCCCAUGAGUAUCAAAAGUGGUCUCUUCUUUUUUGACAGAUGAACUUACUACUUAUAAAAGGACCGUUCAUGAAAGUACUGCAAGGCCUGAGGAACACCAGCACUGAGCUGACUAUUGAGCCAGAGAGGGCAUCCUCACACAGAAAUGGAGACAGUUUGUCAUCCCUAACGAGUGGGCAGCUAGAUUGUAAUGAUAAAAGUGAUGUUAUGCGUGCACCAAUUUACAUACUGCCUUAUUUCUUGGAGGGGAAUCUAUAAGAUAUAGAAUCAGUGUUAUUACUAUUCAUUAAACUCCUUUUUCAAAUGUACAAGAUGCAGACAUGCCCCUGAGUCAUUUGAAAAACAGAGGGAACUCUUCUCUUAAACCUGAGUUUUACCAUUCAAGUUACAAAAAUAAAUUGAGGAAACUGUUUUCCGGAACAAGCCUCCUGAUAAAGCUUCUGAGUGAGUGGCAAGAAGUAACGUUUCCAAGGCGGAGCGGGAUGUGGAUCAAUGGAAAAAGCAGAGGCUGGAAGCUCAGGGUGAACAGGAAGAGGAGGAGCCCAAUGAGGUAUAAUGGGAAGCUCUUGGAAGCUUUUCAAGUGGAGAACGGAGGGGAUGGGGAAGAAUGGAAGAGAAAAGACGGAGUGGAGCGUAUUGUCAUCAAGGUGAGCGACGAGGAGGACUUCUACCCAUGUAUUUUUCCA